rnacentral:rRNA from 1 species
GACGAACGCUGGCGGCGUGCUUAACACAUGCAAGUCGAACGGUAAGGCCCUUCGGGGUACACGAGUGGCGAACGGGUGAGUAACACGUGGGUGAUCUGCCCUGCACUUCGGGAUAAGCCUGGGAAACUGGGUCUAAUACCGGAUAGGACCCUGGGAUGCAUGUCCUGGGGUGGACAGCUUUUGCGGUGUGGGAUGGGCCCGCGGCCUAUCAGCUUGUUGGUGGGGUGAUGGCCUACCAAGGCGACGACGGGUAGCCGGCCUGUGAGGGUGACCGGCCACACUGGGACUGAGAUACGGCCCAGACUCCUACGGGAGGCAGCAGUGGGGAAUAUUGCACAAUGGGCGCAAGCCCGAUGCAGCGACGCCGCGUGAGGGAUGACGGCCUUCGGGUUGUAAACCUCUUUCAGCACCGACGAAGCGCAAGUGACGGUAGGUGCAGAAGAAGGACCGGCCAACUACGUGCCAGCCGCCGCAGUAA